CCGUAGCUCAGCUGGACAGAGCACUCGCCUCCUAAGCGAGGGGCUGAGCACUUUUUCCAAAAUAAAAAGUCGUGGGGCUACGAGUUAACUUUUUGACUCAGGACGUC
rnacentral:tRNA from 1 species